AAGUCGUAACAAGGUUUCCGUAGGUGAACCUGCGGAAGGAUCAUUAAAGAAUUGCCCCAUUUUUUGAAAUGGGUUCUAUUCCCAAACCGUGUAUACAUACCUUUGUUGCUUUGGCAAGCCGUCCUUCGGGCGCAGCCUCGGCUGAGAGCGCUUGCCAGAGGACCCCAACUCUUUUGUUUAGUGAUGUCUGAGUACUAUCUAAUAGUUAAAACUUUCAACAACGGAUCUCUUGGUUCUGGCAUCGAUGAAGAACGCAGCGAAAUGCGAUAAGUAAUGUGAAUUGCAGAAUUCAGUGAAUCAUCGAAUCUUUGAACGCACAUUGCGCCCUGUGGUAUUCCGCAGGGCAUGCCUGUUCGAGCGUCAUUUAACCACUCACGCCUAGCGUGGUAUUGGGGCACGCGGUCUCCGCGGCCCUCAAAAUUAGUGGCGGCGCCGGUGGGCUCUAAGCGUAGUACAUACUCCCGCUAUAGAGUUCCCCCCGGUGGCUCGCCAGAACCCCCAAUUUUUUACAGGUUGACCUCGGAUCAGGUAGGGAUACCCGCUGAACUUAA
rnacentral:rRNA from 1 species